ensembl:lncRNA
CAUAAAUUGAGCACUUAUUGUAAAUUUUAAGUCUCUGUAAAGCUUGGGUCUGUAUUAUCAAGAAGAAAAUUCUUAAGUGUAUUUCAAGAGUUUCAUUUUUAAAGACACUCUAGAAAAAGUGGGUAACCAUUCUUGUCUCAUUUAUAGUACCAUAUAAGCUAAUAGCGUGAGCAUACAGCAGAUGGCGUUUGCUGCUGCUGCUCUCUGCAGUUGUAGCUACAAGGAAGUACCAUCAGUCUGACACUUUGCUGGCUAGCUAAAAUAGUCAUAUUUUCCAUUAAAAAUAUUACUGCAAGGCACACAUAUCAGCCUAAGAGCACGCACUGUGACACAGCUUAAGUGAUUGGAAACUCAUAACUUUAACAGCAUUAAGAGUUCCUUUAAUUGAAAAAAUGUAAUUAUCCAGAAUAUUUUGUCAAACCCAUUAACAUAUUUACUAUUAAUAACAGUUUUUGUUACCAUUUUGCACAAUUUAGCAUUACGCUUCUCUUCCCCUACUUAAUUCUCUGUAGUUGCAAAACUCGAAGACCUUUAGUAGUAUUAUAUCUGUUAUCUUUUUUAAGCACAUUGUGAAGGACAGAGAGCCAUAACGUGAGCACAUUGGUAUUGCUCCCUUAGGAGGUCAGGCUAAUGGCACACCUGAUGUUCCUACGUGAAAACAACCAAACUGCCCAGGAGAUUGGAACACUUUUCGUUGAGUGGUAUUUUGAGGAAUUUCAUCACACUGUAUCUAAAUGGUUAUAGCUUCAAUAUUAAACCAAACGGAGAGUCUUUUUCCUGAAAACUAACCCAAAUCACCCAUAAAGGCCAUCUAAACUCUUAAAGCAUCUUUCAAAAACCAUAUGCUUCCAGCAGUUUUCCUAGGCAGUGUGCUUACCUUUCUCCCCUUCCUAUUAUUUUUCUCAGCAACUGUGAAGCACCAAAUAAGUGACAGUAAUGGAACACAGAUAUUUACCAUACCCCAUUGCAACUCUGAUUUUGGUGCGCUCACUGUACACACUCCUAAGACUGCAGAUGUGUAAGCUUUUGAUGACACAGAACUUGUGCCAAAAUUGAUGUAUAGGCCAAAACCGGAGAAGUACACUUGCAAUUAAUAGUGAUUAGAUUUGAAUUUCACUAAUAGAGGGUUGCAUUUUUGUCCAUUUAAAUCAGUGGCAGAAUUCCAUAUUAGAUUUUACUUUUCAGUCAGCAAAAUACACCGCUUUUGCAUGGCACUUUUUAUGUCUGAAGAACUGCAAACCCAUUAAUUAAAAAUAAGCAUCAGAGACACUGAAAUGCUGUGUAAUUACAGGAAAACUAGCAAGUCUAUUUGUUGAUCACACCAUAGUAUGCCAUUCGUUUCGAGCCAAGUUCAAAAGAAUUGUUUCAGUGUAAAACAAAUCACUUUUGGACCAUUUAUUGUUAUGCAAUACUUGAAUGCCCUCAGCCCCUGCAACCUUGUGGAGCUGACAGCUUUUGCUAUCUUGCAGAUCAGAUAUUAAAGAUGAUGGUUCAUACAGGAUCUUUUUGUGUAUCCUACAUGCUCAUGUCAAGUAUUUCCUCAGUAAAAUGGUUAGCUUUAAACAGAUGUGAGAUUGGCUACCUUUUUUUUUUUCCUUCUUUAUUUGAAGUAUAUGACAUUUUGCAUGCCUGUCCUCCCUCUAUCACUGAAACACUUUUUUUCUUUCUGCUUGCCCUGCACACAAAGCAGGGCCUUCCUUGAAAGAAGUUAUUCCCAGACAUGAGGAGCACAGUUGCGCUGUGUUCAGUCUGGAAGGCCAUCUAGUGACACAACUGUGCAGAACUGCAGAAGGGCUUGGCUUGGAAGGGACCUCAGAGAUCACCUAGUUCCAACUCUGAUUGACAAGAGGAAGAGAACGGGCCUGAAGGGGGAUAGAGCAGACCUGAGCUCACCCUGAACACAAGGCACUGGGUACAGCAGGAGACACACAGUUUGCCACCGCGCCUCCCUGUGCCCCAUGCAGACGCGCUGUGGUACCUCAGGGCUCUCCUGUCCUUCAGCACAGCGCUUGGCCCGCACGUCCCUCAUCCAUCAGCGCCUGGAUCCACCGCGAUGGAAAUUUCCCCUUAGCGCAAAGUAAAGGGGCACGGCGUGUGAGAUCCCUGAGGAAAUAAAGGAGGUCUGAGGGGAGGGAGCCGCCACAGGUGGGAGAGGGGCACAAAGACCCGAGCGCGGGUUCGACGGAGGCUCCGAGGGACGGCUUACAACGGAGGCCACACGGAGGCCUCAGCGCCUCACCUGGAGGACGGACGCGCUGUCCCACAGGCGUGCGGAGGCUCCGCUCCCGCGUUCAGCUCCGCGCGGACGGCGCCGG